rnacentral:lncRNA from 1 species
UUUAGAGACGGUUCACGUUGUGGCCGAGAGGCCAGACGAUUCGAUUUUCCUUGUCGGUGACCUUCAGUGCCAGUGGAGGCAUGCCGGGACCCAGUAGGCCUCGGCUGUUGCGCGACUCGCGCGACAGACAGCCGUGUUGGAUCCUGCAUAGCAUGUCGCCUUCCUCCGAGGAUGCCUGAGCUCCUGCGGUGGAGGACGGUCGGGGGAGGCCGGGUCUGGCGGCUCGGUGUGGCACUCGGCGCCGCGCGUUCCGGGAAGGUCUCCCCGUGCUCUGUGGAACUAGAGAUAGGAGAGAUGAAGAAACCGAGCCAAGUCUGGCUGCUCCAGAUCCUCAGGACUAAGAAUCCUGCCUGUUGGGCUGAAGCAAAGGCUGUGUGAAGGGGACGGGGUGAGGUUUCUACUUCUGGCAGACAUCUGAAUAUCAGUUGCUGACUACAGACUGUUCUAAGACUGCGAGCCCUAGACUUGCUAUGAAUGUGAACCAGUUCAGCUGAUGUGGACACCCCCUGUCUCUACAACAGUGUCUGCUAACCAGAAGCCCCUGAUGGAUUCCCCAUUGCCUAAAUUCCUUUUUGCUUUUGACUAGCAUUUCAACCUUCUGGGGUCCCUAACUUCGUCCCAAAGUCAGCAGGAAGCAGUUUGGAAAAGAAUUUCGCCGUCCAUUUUCCCUGGUUAAAAUGCUAAGUCAAAAGGAACUCCCUUACAUGGGGAUGCCAAUAUCUAUCACUCCCUGAUGGGGAUGCUAGAGAGACAGCAAUUCCAUGAUUGGAAUUUCCAGAAAAGAAAAUGGGGGAAUGAAGGAACCGGCUUCCCUUUUGGCAGCCAUAAUGGUUGAACAUGUGCUUCUAUGACCUUGUCCUAGAAACCAGAAAGUCAGAUGCCUGUCUUGUGACAAGGAACCAAUCAGAAGUUAGCUGGUGGUGCUAUGCUUUAUGGCUCUGGGUGUGCUUUACGGACAAGCGCACAGCAAUGACGUAGAGAGCAUAGCAACCACCCUGGGAGGGCCUAUGAGCCAUAACAACCAGUUGACCAAUCAACACAGGGCAAGCCCUCCAAGCCUGGAGGCACACCAAUCGUAAGCCUGUGCGUACCCCUAGACACUCCCCUUACGCUGCC